GACGAACGCUGGCGGCGUGCUUAACACAUGCAAGUCGUGCGGUAAGGCCCUUUCUUGGUUACACGAGCGUCGAACGGGUGUGUAACACGUGAGCAACCUGCCCUUCACUUUGGUAUAACUGCCGGAAACGGUGGCUAAUACCUGCUAUGACUUCCUCACUCAUGUGGGGUGGUGGAAAGCCUUCGGGUGGUGGUGGAUGGGCUCGCGGUCUAUCUGCUUGUUGGUGGGGUGAUGGCCUACCACGGCUUCGACGGGUAGCCGGCCUGAGAGGGUGACCGGCCACAGUGGGACUGAGAAAGGGCCCAGACUCCUACGGGAGGCAGCAGUGGGGAAUAUUGGACAAUGGGCGAAAGCCUGAUACAGCAACGCCGCGUGAGGGAUGACGGCCUUCGGGUUGUAAACCUCUUUCGCCUGAGACGAAGCGAGAGUGACGGUAGCAGGUAAAGAAGCACCGGCUAACUACGUG
rnacentral:rRNA from 1 species